AUUGAACGCUGGCGGCAGGCCUAACACAUGCAAGUCGAGCGGAACGGCGGACGGGUGAGUAAUGCCUAGGAAUCAGCCUGGUAGUGGGGGAUAACGUCCGGAAACGGGCGCUAAUACCGCAUACUAUCAGAUAAGUCUAGGUCGGAUUAGCUAGUUGGUGGGGUAAAGGCCUACCAAGGCGACGAUCCGUAACUGGUCUGGGUGGAUGAUCAGUCACACUGGAACUGAGACACGGUCCAGACUCCUACGGGAGGCAGCAGUGGGGAAUAUUGGACAAUGGGCGAAAGCCUGAUGCAGCCAUGCCGCGUGUGUGAAGAAGGUCUUCGGGUUGUAAAGCACUUUAAGUGAGAAGGCGUUACCAACAGAAGAAGCACCGGCUAACUUCGUGCCAGCAGCCGCGGUAAUAC
rnacentral:rRNA from 1 species